rnacentral:tRNA from 2 species
GGGGAUGUAGCUCAGUUGGCUAGAGCGUUUGACUGGCAGUCAAGAGGUCGUGGGUUCGAGUCCCAUCUUCUCCA